GACAGAGGGGGCAAGCGUUGCUCGGAAUCACUGGGCGUAAAGGGCGCGUAGGCGGGAGCUCAAGUCGGUCGUGAAAUCUCCGGCUCAACCCGGAGGAGUCGGCCGAAACUGGGUUCUUGAGGGAGGCAGAGGAGUCUGGAAUUCCCGGUGUAGCGGUGAAAUGUGUAGAGAUCGGGAGGAACACCGGUGGCGAAGGCGGGACUCUGGGCCUACCCUGACGCUGAGGCGCGAAGGCGUGGGGAGCAAACGGG
rnacentral:rRNA from 1 species